AUGAAGAAAUUUCUUACUCCCGAGGACCCACGCGAGAAAACUGGUCACUACUACACAAUUUGCAUCAACUUGGCGAAGCAAUGCUUCGAAGUUCUCGACUCAAUCCGUUCGGGAGAUGAUGAGUCGCUUCGCUCCCACGCAGAUUUUUUCAUCAACAACUUGAAGGAAACCUGGGCGCGUCACUACAGUGGCUCGAAGGUCCAGAUCAAACAUUUCCCUAUCGAGUAUGUGAAGUCCAUAAGCAAGGAAACACCUAUGACUGUGGUGUCUAUACCCUCGAAUAUCUUGCAUAGUGGGAAGGCAGGAAGGUGCCAACUUUGA
rnacentral:rRNA from 1 species